rnacentral:rRNA from 1 species
CAGUCAUACCAACGGGAAAUCAACCUUUUGAGUUUGUUCUUGUGGGUUUCGAGGAGUUUAAAAGCCUUCGGAUUUGCUAGGAUUGGGCUCUUUUGGUGUACUUUCUCGUACGGUUAGUCAACAUCGGUUUUGAAUGUCAUAAAAUGACUGGAGGAAUGUGGCUUCGAUCUCGCAUCGAAGUGUUAUAACCUUUGGUAGAUGUGAUGUUCGAGACCCGAGGAUUGCAACGGAUACCUUCUGGGCUAUUCGUCUGAUCUCUGAUACGUGCCUUGAUGUCGAAAGCGUGCUUAUGAU